rnacentral:lncRNA from 1 species
ACAUAUUCAAACUACAAAUUCAAGAUUUCAACAUCCAUAGAUGUGUUCAGUAGCCACUAACCACAUCGGUAAACAUAAUUUACAUGUGACAAUAAGAUGUCAUGUCUUCAAACUAAGCUACACUAACGGUUUGAUCUUGACAUAUGGCUACAACUAUGUCUAGGAAACAAUGGCAUGUUCACACUUGUGUAUAUUUCAGCUCAGCCGUUUGCCAAAUGACAUUGCCAUUUUCAUGAGAUGUUCUGAAUACCAGACUCGCCAUCAUCAUGUGAAACUGCAUUAUUCAAAGAGGGCCCCAUGUCUCCAGCAGAAGAGCACCAAACUUGCAAUGCUUGAAAGAUCACAGAUUGAUAGCCUCACCCCACUUGAUUGUGUUGUCACUAUGAACAGAUGAAUCACCAUGUAAACAUCCUAGUUCACUAGUACAACUACAUGUUUCCCAGAAUAUCUUCCAGUGUGAUGCCAACCUGAACAGAUAAGAUGGUACAGAUGAAAGUUGCUGGAUGUAAUGAGAUAACCAUUUAAAGAGAACUUUGGAUUAAUAUAGCCACUAAAAGCAUUGAAUCUUUACAACAUGGAGCACUGGCAAUGAAUCUUUGCAAUAAUUGAUUUCAGAGAAUUAAAACGUUAUAUAAAGCUAACAAAUUAUAUGUCAAUUAAUGUGUUCUGUUUUAAAAAAUCAUAACAUAAAAGAAACAAAUGUGUUCAGAGAUGAGAACCAUGUUACAAAAAAUAAUUCUGCUGACUUAGAUCAAAGCUCAAACAAUAACUCGAAAGAAAGCAUACGUGCUCCUGAUUCUAGUUUCCAGCUACUUCUAUAAAAUCUGUGCCAGAUCAAGGAAAAUUGUUAGUUUGAUCACUUGACAGCACAAUGAAGUUUCUCCCUAGUAAAAACAACAAAACAAAUAAGUUGUACCCAAGAGUGUAAAAUACAGUAAUAAAAGAGCAUUUGGUAUACUUUUAAUGGAGGAAUUCCUUAACUGGGUGAUUAUGGGAGGAUAACAAAUUGCAAAAUAUCAUAUAUGAAUCAUGUUUUAAAUAUACAAUAGUGCAGAUAGCAAUCAGAAGCUUCAGAGUAUCUUACCAUUCCAUAAUCCAUUAUGAUCAUCAACACAUAAUCAGAAGGGGUCGCACCAUAAUUUAGAUGUGCAAAAUUGUUUCCAUGAAACUUACUAAAAUUUAAUGUAUCUAAGAAAGUAAACCAUAGAUGGUAUUCAGGUACAUACGUGAGAUUUAAGAACAAACCAAAACAGGACUUCAAUUCCAGUUCAUUAGACCAGGAAAGCAUACAAUAAAUUAGAUGCAAUGUACAGUAGUAGAUAUUUAUGUGUACAGAUGAGGACAUAUUCCUGACAUGUAUUGAUUACGGCCUCUGUUAUUAGGGGAAGGCAUUAGGAGAUAGUAUAGCAGCACGUGAAUGAGUAUACUUUCAUGUGAGGUUACACACAGACUUGCAAGGUAGCAGAGAGUGCCCAUCUAGUUCGGUCCAAAGCUACUGUAGGCUAUUACGGAAGCCACAUUUUUCAUCAGAAAAUAAGCAUUAUUAUUCUCUCAUCUGCUCAGUUUGGACAAAAUAUUAUUCCCUUUUUAUCAUAAGCGAUCUGUACAAUUGCAGCAAUGCAUAGCUGCAAUAAGACAUGUCAUAUAAAAUUAUAACAAAUGUAAAUGAAAAGAAAGGGAGAUUACUUACUGUUUCUUUUACAUCUACAUCUACACAUAACAGAAGGACGCAACUCUAGAAUCAAUGAACCUGCUCAGAAGUUACAUAAACCAAAUACUCUCAAGUAUCCGCCGUCAAC